rnacentral:rRNA from 1 species
UACGUAGGGUGCGAGCGUUGUCCGGAAUUACUGGGCGUAAAGCGUGCGCAGGCGGUUCGUUAAGUUCGAUGUGAAAGCCCCGGGCUCAACCUGGGAACUGCAUUGGAAACUGGCGAGCUUGAAUGCGGCAGAGGGGGGUGGAAUUCCGCGUGUAGCAGUGAAAUGCGUAGAGAUGCGGAGGAACACCGAUGGCGAAGGCGGGUCUCUGGGCAAUUCCUGACGCUGAGGCGCGAAAGCGUGGGGAGCAAACGGG